UAUGGAAGUAUCAUUUAUAAAUGCCUUUUUGAUGAAUAUUUACAGUAUAUAUGCUUUAGUACAGUGGGAGAAAGUCAGAAAGUCUGCCUUUCUCACAAAAGAACAAGGCCUAAUUCCUCAAUAGGGAACAAUAAUAAUGUCCACAAAAGUGCACUAUCCAGUGAGCUCUUAGUGCUGGCUCCAAAUAUCUUGGUGAUCUACUGAACCGACAAACAAAAUGAUUCGAGGAAAUCGAAACAACAUUAAAACACAGAUAUUUGAGUUUAUCUGCCAUGAAGUAAGGUAUAUUAUCAUCAAGAGCAGAAAUGAAAUGAAAAUCAUCAAAAGAAACAAAUUUUAACAAGAAAUGCACAAACCCGGUGACUAUGUCUGGAAAACACUUAAAUGACUGCAGCGACUUUGGCAAAUCACAAUUGUGUCCAUCGCAAGCUAAAAGUUAUCGUGGGCAGUGGAAGGGUAAGUGCUACAUGCACAAUAUACUUAAUAUUAUGUUUAAUAAGUGCUUUAACACUUAGGAGACUGCAGAUGUUUUGACACUAAAGAAGUUCUGACAUUUGUGUAUUCUUCAGUUACUUAUAAACAUAUAAAUGGCUAAAGUCUGAUCACACUCUAUUCAGCACAAACUAGACUACAGUAAUAUGUGAGCAGCAUGUAUGUGCAAGUUUGUAUUUUGGAGAAAAUAACAGUUAUGCGCUGUUAUUGAAAACAACAACAACAACAACAAAAAAUAAGGCCACAAACUCUUGCAGUCUAGAGUUGUUGCUUCAAAUUGAUGUGACAU